rnacentral:lncRNA from 1 species
UCGACCAAGGAUAAAGUGGUAAUUUCACAUAGCUGAUCUUAAAUUAAAUUUUUAUAAACAUAUGUGUCGUCCUUCCUCACGUUCUUUCUUCUAGAAUUAUCUUUCACUACUACUGUGCUAAUCAUCUCCCAUUUGCUAAUGAGUAGCCACACUUAUUUGUCAUUAGUAAUAGAUCUUUCUUGCUAACCUUCUUUUAUCCUUCAUAUCUUCUUUUAGGAAUUUUACUUUUUUUUUAUCUCUAAUCAAACUUUGGACUCAACUCUGUGAUUCACAAUUGGGGAUAAACUUGUCUGUUGCUUCUCACUUAAUGAACUCUUGGAGCAGCAAUCGUCUACCAGGAUGGACUAUUCUUGGAGCUUUCGAACUGCUGGACGGGAAUAUUGAGGUAUAACCUUUCAGUUGUUAUUUUUGAAGGGUUUAUAUGUUAGUUUUUCCUUUUUAAUUCUUCAUAAUUAGUCAGUCCAUGGUCGAUUCUCUGCUAAUUUUGAGGUAUAAUCCCCUUAGAAAUGUUGAGCUUUUUUAAGUUUUAAAGUAGGUGAAAUUUACUAAUCGCUGAUUUAAAAUUUUGAGAUAUAACCCCCUUCUAGAUUUUUGUUUGUACUGUCAGACUACAUUACACAUUGAUUCCUCAUCUAGAUAGAGUCAUCUGGUAUUUGUGCUCAUGUGACAUAGCACGUAUCCCAUAAAGUCAGUCGAGGUACACACAAGCUAAUCGGAAAGUCAUUGUUAUUUAAAAAAAAAAGAAUUCCAAACUGCUACUUCCUUUAAGAUCUGUAUGUUGCUCAUUAUUUGUUGAGAAGACGCCUAGAUCUGCCACCUUCUGAUCAUGUAUAUGAAACUCCACGUGGGAAACGAGCCUAGUAUUUGAAUUCUGAAGACUGAUUUACAAAUGGAACUGUGUUGUCACAGCUCUUGAAUAGAUCAAGCAAAAGUAGAAUGAAUAUCUUUAAAAAAUGCUCAAUGACACUGCAAGUAAACUAAAAUAAAAUAAAAUAACAUGAAGAAAAUAUUAGCCAAUAUCUUUGUCAUUCAUGUAAUUUGGUAUAGUUAGAAUAAUUGAGACGCCUCAACUGAACUGCAUGCCACAUUUGCUGAUGGCUAUUUAUUUAGAUACCCAACUAAAAUGAGGUGGAAAUGUUGUAAAUCUAAAGUAGUCGACCAAGGGUAAUUUUGACAUUUCAAACCUAAGGUAAAAUUGAACAGCCACCUCAUUCAUUCUCUAUUUUGCAUUUUGUAUCUCUCAACUUAGCUUUUACACUCUUCAUCUAGAGUAUUCUAAGUUCAGAGUCCCUGAUGGCCACAUCUAGCUUUCUUCUUCGUCGUCUUCUCUUAGAGAGGUAAUAAUUAUCUCUCUGUUAUUUACUUAUCGUUAUAGAUUAUUGAAGUUCAAAGAUGUAUAUUUCUAUCCCAGCUGGUGGCCACUGCUCCAGUUAAACUUGGGGAAAGAAACAAUGAGAUCAUUUCGUGACAAUUUGAGAGUUUUCAAAUUGGGUAGAGGAAAAUGUUUUUCAUGCAAAUUGAUGAAUUCAAGAUCUGGAUAUCUCAAACAAGAGGAUACAUUCAUGGGUAUCUUAGAUUCAGUCUUUACUUUUAUAAUUUUGGUUUUCUAUAUUUGUAUUCCAAUUAUUUCAUAAUUUCGUCGAGAGUACAUGGUUAUAAAUUGAUUAUUUUACUAUGGGGUCUUUUUUUUUCAAUUUGUGGUUAUGACAAUGAAGCUAACUUCCUAUAGGUCCUUUUAUUGAUAAAUCAAAUGAGUAGGACAUUUUUUUUGCUUUAUCUUUUUGAGCAAUUCAAUAACUCCACAUCAACUGUAUCGAGUGACAUUUUCCAUUCAAAUAUCAUUAACAGAAGAAUUCAAAAACGAUUGUCUGGUAUAAUUUUGUUUCACCAAUAUUUCUUUAGUAGAUAUUGUUAAACCGUUUGAUACCGUAUAUGCUCAUCAUUCCAAUAUAUAUCAUUUUGCACAGUUGGUUAAACAAUUUGAUUCACUGGAAUUGAAUCAUCCUAAAGCAUUAGUGUUAUAUUUUGGUUUCUUGUUUGGAUAAACUAUUAGAUAUUAAUUACUGCUAUAAUGAUAUCAGAAAUUAGUACAUUCAUUGCAAUAUUCAUGGUUGGCCUGGUGACAAUUGACUUGAGCCUUGUGGUUUGCUCCCUUUCAAGGUUCCAAGUUCGAAAUCUACUGGGCGCAAACAAUUUCUGAGGGCCAUAGGACUGGGUAAAACCUGAAUUAACCGUGGUGCACUUGCGGAAAAUUCCUUGCUGAGGGCUUGUGCAACCGCGGGAUUAGUCGAGGCUCGAAUAGACUCGGACACCCGGUGCAAAUAAAAAAAGCAGUACAUUCAUUGUUCAAUUGUAUUUUCAUGUAGGUGACAGUUUCAGUGUAAUGUCAGAGUUUCGUUUACGUUAUGUACAAAUAUACCUUUCUAUAGUAGCAUAAAGAGGGGUGACAAAAGGUUAUCUUUUAUUUCCUACAUUUUCUUAGUUAAAAGACCGUAGAAUUUAUACUAUUUUACGCCGAUCUGGUUUACGGUUCACAUCUCCAAGUAUUAGAUUAUGGUAUAUCUGUUAUAAAUUACCAACUUUUUACUACGGGUGAAUGUUACUCAAAAUAGUUCUUAUUUUGCUAAAUAGAUAUUAAAUCCCCACGAGUUACUCGUAAGGGUUCAAUUACUUUGUCUUUUACUUGAUCCAUUUCAUUUGUGUUAGGAUAUUUUAUGACAGAUACGACAUUUUGUAAGGCAAUCUACUUACUACUUAUUUCUAUGUGUGCUAAAAAAGAUAAUUUCAAUUUGUGUCCUCCAGUUUAUGUGACUUCUAUAUUGUUAAAAUAAAAUUGAGUAUGUGGUUGUGGGCAAACUUAGGGAUACAAAAAAUAUAUAAAG